UUUUAAAAACCAUCCUCAUUACAGGUUUUGGUUGUUCAAUGAGAAUUCCCAAAACCUCUUAGGAAAGCGUAGCUGCCCCCUUCCCCACCCACCCCGAUCCUGAGAACAGUAUUUUUACUUAUAACUACAAAGAGCUACCAUUUUACAAUAAAAUGGUGUGUAAUUUGCGAGUGCAUCUUUAAAGGAGACAAAAGCCCGCUCGCUGUAGGUCUUUGGUGCUUCAGCCAUGAACUGAGACCUAAGAGGCGCAGUGCGGGCUGGAGUGAAGGCUCGCGCGGGGAAUCUGGAUCCGUGCGGCUCUGGCUCUUUGCUCGGCUGCACCGGGGACCGCACUGUUGUGGGGUUCAUGGAGCUCCUGACACCCAGUCGUGGGGUUCAAGUCUCGAGACACAACCCCAGCUGAGGCACCAGGCGGGCGUACAGGGCACGGGAGACUAGACGGCCCUUGGUGUUUGCAACGCGCAUGUGUGCCUGCUGGUGGGCGGAGUUCCUGUGGGGUGUGGCGCCCAAGCAGUGCUCACCGGCUGUUUUUCUCAGGCCCAGAGGACUGGAGGGCCCCCUGCUGCCCCAGGACUCCUCUGCCUCCAGGUACCUGACCUGCACGGAGGCCCUUUAAGGGCAUCCAGGCCUCCUAGGGACGGCUGCACGUGUUGGAAGGUUCUUGAUGUGGAUCAGAAGCUGGCCUGUUGUCCUGUCCCCAGGAGUCCCAGGUGGGGCUCAUCAUUCUAAGCCGGCAGCCCCAGCACCUGGGGGUCCCUGGCUCGGGGAACACAGGGGUCCCCUGACUUAAUUUGGCAAGUUCAUUCUUUGUAGAUGAGGCAGGACAGGCUGGAGCGGGAACCACUCUUGGCUGGAAACCAGAUCUGGGAAGUCCAGUCUCAGGACUUGACCACCUUCAACUGAGAGAUGAGGGGACUGGGUGGGAUGCUGACGAAGAGGGUUUGAACUUUCUAGAAAGUAGCUGACUUGUCCUCAGUCCUGGAAAGAGGAUCGGCGUGCAGUGCGAUCGAGCAGACCCUGGUUAGCUUAACUGGGGUUUCGCUGUUUACCAGUUCUGGUUUACUGAUCUGAGCCCGGCCUGGUUCGAGUUCAGAGUGUCAGCACCGAGUCACGUUCCCCCCCCACCCCACCCCUCAAUUUCCUUCCUAUGUUAAUUUCAGGAGAAAAUAUUUGCUAGGAAUAAGUCCAGCUGUUCUUGGCAUUUUCACCCGUGGAAACAGGGCGUAUAACCCAUCACCGAACCCCACGUAAGUGUCUCUGUUUGGAGAUACCAGCCUUUAAGGUAAAUUCUGUCUGAUGCAAAGACUACCCUCCAGCAUGUCCAGGGUGUGGUGAGACACCCGAGUCGCCCGACAGCCUUUCUCCCAGGCUCCAACUUCUCAGGGUUCCCAAAGAAACUAGGGGGGAAAAAGUCUGCAAAUAACACGUCACAUGAUAAAAUUUAGUCUUUAUUUUCUCUUCAGUAGGUCAAUUCAAGGCCUCGUCUGCAUCCUACACAGGGUGAGGGAGGCUGGGCUGUGGUCAACCGUGGCCUCCCUCUUCAGGUGACAAAUCAGUAACCGCAGUCCAAAGGUGGCCCACACGUGUCCAGGGAGUUGCGUCACUGUCAACAGGGAAGAUCUCCGUCUCUGCCUGGCCAGACGCUUGCGGGGCUAGGAAAGAGAUGUCACUGGGCUCCAGUUCGAGAACACGUACUCAAAAUGUUAAGCCUUGGCAUUUUUAAAAGGCUAAAUGUGACCCUCCAGAAGGCCCUCCGGGGUCAUGAAGACAUUCGUUUAAAUUGUACACAUAAAUUUGCUGCACGUCGUUCUUAUCACGUGUCUGCAGGUGCACUGCAGUUAUGACACGCACGAUUCACACCGGCUGGAAUCCGCCUUAUUUCCCGGCGGCCAGGGCAGCCCAGCCUGGUGCUGCCAUUUAGGGUGUCCUCAGAUGACACCCAGGACCAGCUGCUUUACACUGACCUUGUUUGAUCUGCAUCCGUGACCAUGUCUGACCACGCACCUCGUAACAAAAACGCAACUGUUUUUGCUAAGAGUUUCUGAUAAAGGAAUAGACAAUUAUUGCAUCUCGUGUCCUUUCCCAUGCUUUAAAAUGAGCUAUGUCCUAUACGUUUUUCUAUCAUCUAAGAUUUGCGAGUAAAAACAUUAUAAAAAAUAUACGUAUCUUUGAAAACCCUAGCGUUUCU